rnacentral:rRNA from 1 species
CGACGCUGGCGGCGUGCCUAAUACAUGCAAGUCGAGCGCAGGAAGCCGUCUGAACCCUUCGGGGGGACGACGGUGGAAUGAGCGGCGGACGGGUGAGUAACACGUAAAGAACCUGCCCAUAGGUCUGGGAUAACCACGAGAAAUCGGGGCUAAUACCGGAUGUGUCAUCGGACCGCAUGGUCCGCUGAUGAAAGGCGCUCCGGCGUCGCCCAUGGAUGGCUUUGCGGUGCAUUAGCUAGUUGGUGGGGUAACGGCCCACCAAGGCGACGAUGCAUAGCCGACCUGAGAGGGUGAUCGGCCACACUGGGACUGAGACACGGCCCAGACUCCUACGGGAGGCAGCAGUAGGGAAUCUUCCACAAUGGACGAAAGUCUGAUGGAGCAACGCCGCGUGAACGAUGAAGGCUUUCGGGUCGUAAAGUUCUGUUGUAAGGGAAGAACAAGUGCCGCAGGCAAUGGCGGCACCUUGACGGUACCUUGCGAGAAAGCCACGGCUAACUACGUGCCAGCAGCCGCGGUAAUACGUAGGUGGCAAGCGUUGUCCGGAAUUAUUGGGCGUAAAGCGCGCGCACGCGGCCUCUUAAGUCUGAUGUGAAAGCCCCCGGCUCAACCGGGGAGGGCCAUUGGAAACUGG